rnacentral:sRNA from 1 species
ACGCAGGGAUGGUGCCUGGUAUGGUAUUGGUGUGUAUGGGCUGGUACGGCCUUGAUUGGAUGUAGCGAACUCUGUAACCUUGCCCAGGUGAUACGCUGUGUCACGUUCCGUACCAGUUCGUUUGUUGGUUGGUUGGUUAGUUGGCUGCUCUUGUACGGAGCCAAUACUGAACCAAUACACACACAGCCUUUGUCCUUUGUUCACUGGACAGAUUGAGUUCUUACAAAAUAAAUACCUCAGCGAGGAUAUUCCUUGAAAGAAGACCCUUCAACACGAAACAACCCGCUCGACUUCUGGAUCAUGCUGAGCACCCUUGGAUAAAGGUUCAAAGCAGGAUGGAUUCCUUUUGCAGUCAUAUAGUUUACUGCUACUACUGUAUUUGUCAUGUACGAAGCACUGCAAACCAAUGCCCUUUCGCCAUUUCCUCAAGCAAUGCACCGGCGCAAUGAGCCGUCAUGAAUCAUGAUGCGGCAAGCAGACAGGACGAGCCUGCAAUCUAUCAUAUCAUGUAAUGCAUGCAACCUCCAAAUAACUAACUCAGUAACUUCAUACUCCGCCCGCUCUCUGGGCCUGUCUUUCAUCAACUUGCAAAGAGAGCGGGGGGGGAUUAAAAAAGCAUCGCCAUCGUCGAUUGAUUGAUUGAUUGAUUGAUUGAUGACAACAAAAGUUGCAAAAUAAUUAAAAAACAAAUUAACAAGAGAAAAUUCAAAUGAUUGAUGCCACCAUUCCUUUCGAGACGAAGCUCCCUUCACAUUUUCAAAACACCCAACCACAGGCUCAAACAAUGACUUCAUGAAAAAUGCAGGAACGCUCUGUACUGUACAUACCUACCUACCCGGACACACACAAAUGAGCUAAGGCGACUGGUGGGUGAUGCCAGCUGCAAACUUACAAGUGACAAAGGCUGCAGAAAGAGAUGUCGCUGCGCAUUAUUACCAAUUUGAAAAAAAAAAAAAAGAAUGAUCACUGAUUUGGAAUGCCAUACCUUCAUCUCAAGCAAAAGAUAUUCAUACAGCAUCAAACUGACUGGAGAACUCCACGUCAGGAAAAGUAUUAUUCAGGCAGAACACGUAGUUAGUGAUGUGUGCGACAACACCAAAAAUAAAGAGAAAAUAACAACAAACAACA